UGCAUCCUUAGUUCAGUUGGUAGAACAUAGGUUUCCAAAACCUAAUGUGGUGGGUUCAAUUCCUACAGGAUGCGU
rnacentral:tRNA from 1 species